UUUCCAGUCAAUUUUAAAGCAUUCAAUUAAUUUUCUCACAAUAGUCUCUACACCGGAAACUAUUGUGUAAUUUUUACUGGAUCUAACCUUACGUUAGAUCAUAGUAUUUUAUUCCUUCGUUUUUAUUUUCUUGUCCGAUCGAAGAUUGUAAGAACAAAUCCAACCGGUUUGUGGUGGAGAGUUCAAGCAUCGAAGCUAGGAAUAAUCAAGACUUCUAUUAAUUUUAC
rnacentral:lncRNA from 1 species